GGAGGGAUGGCCGAGCGGUUGAAGGCGGCGGUCUUGAAAACCGUUGUAGGGGUGACUCUACCGUGGGUUCGAAUCCCACUCCCUCCGCCA
rnacentral:tRNA from 4 species